CCUACGGGUGGCAGCAGUGAGGAAUAUUGGUCAAUGGACGAGAGUCUGAACCAGCCAAGCAGCGUGAAGGAUGACUGCCCUAUGGGUUGUAAACUUCUUUUAUAUGGGAAUAAAAUGUUCCACGUGUGGGCUUUUGUAUGUACCAUAUGAAUAAGGAUCGGCUAACUCCGUGCCAGCAGCCGCGGUAAUACGGAGGAUCCGAGCGUUAUCCGGAUUUAUUGGGUUUAAAGGGUGCGUAGGUGGAUUGUUAAGUCAGUUGUGAAAGUUUGCGGCUCAACCGUAAAAUUGCAGUUGAAACUGGCAGUCUUGAGUAGAGUAGAGGUAGGCGGAAUGCGUGGUGUAGCGGUGAAAUGCUUAGAUAUCACGAAGAACUCCGAUUGCGAAGGCAGCUCACUGGACUGCAACUGACGCUGAGGCACGAAAGUGUGGGUAUCAAACAGGAUUAGAUACCCGUGUAGUC
rnacentral:rRNA from 1 species